rnacentral:rRNA from 1 species
UGGGGAAUACUGCACAAUGGGCGCAAGCCUGAUGCAGCCAUGCCGCGUGUAUGAAGAAGGCCUUCGGGUUGUAAAGUACUUUCAGCGGGGAGGAAGGGAGUAAAGUUAAUACCUUUGCUCAUUGACGUUACCCGCAGAAGAAGCACCGGCUAACUCCGUGCCAGCAGCCGCGGUAAUACGGAGGGUGCAAGCGUUAAUCGGAAUUACUGGGCGUAAAGCGCACGCAGGCGGUUUGUUAAGUCAGAUGUGAAAUCCCCGGGCUCAACCUGGGAACUGCAUCUGAUACUGGCAAGCUUGAGUCUCGUAGAGGGGGGUAGAAUUCCAGGUGUAGCGGUGAAAUGCGUAGAGAUCUGGAGGAAUACCGGUGGCGAAGGCGGCCCCCUGGACGAAGACUGACGCUCAGGUGCGAAAGCGUGGGGAGCAAACAGG